UAUACCCACGUCAUUAAAACAAUAGCAACUUCCUUUUUGUAGCAUGUCUGCUAAUGGGUCUUUAGUUUUCUUGAGGAAAGCCUCAGAGAAAACCCAAAUGGGAAAUGUAUGACCCUAUGAACAGAAAAUACAACUUUUCCUAUUUUGGUUUUUCUCUUUAUAGUACUUCAGUUCUAAGUUCUCAGGCAUAAGUAGGGGUAGAAACUGACCUAAAGUCCAAUGUACUUUUUACUCCCCCCCAAAACAAGUAUUCUACAGGAUGAGAAAUUCAAACGAGAUAAAUAAGAAACAAGAUUUUCAGGACAUCAGUUGUGAUCAGAAAGAGGGAGUACCCUCAGUGAAUAUAAAACCUUAAUGACAGGUGUGAUGAAUUUCUGUUAAUGUAAAACUACAGACUUUUAGGUCUAAAGAAUGACAAUAAAGAUCAUCUAUUCCAACCACUUUAUUUUACAGAUGAAUAAACUCAGUGACCAGGUGAUUAAAUAACUUGCAUGAAGACGCCAGCUAUGUUGGACCUUAAGCUCCUUUUCAGAAGUUACCUUCAGUGGCUUUGCAUUAUGUCUGGCCCAUGGUUGAUGUUGAUUGAGUGGAUGAGAGACUGCCAAGGACCCUUUCUGAAAUCUGCUAAGGUUAAAAAUAAACAAUUUCUCAGUAGCAAUUGCUUGUUUUCCGAAAAGACCUAUUGUUCAGAAAGAAGCAUUGGAGAGAACUUGAACUGGCUGCAAACCCAAUCAACUAACUUGUGUCUGCUAUCAUAACCUUUCGGGACAAUGUCGAGAUGGAUUACUGGCUAAAAGAUCAUAUUCCUUGGAACUGGCCAGCCAGAAGCUUAAAUGGACGUCUGUGCCCUUGAUACACUGAAAUAAAGAUGUCAAAAUAGCCCCAUGCCCUGCCACAGUCCUUGCUCCAUGGUCAGAAAAUGGCCUGAGGAAGGCCCAAGUCCUGGCAGGGGCUCUGCUGGUCUACGCCCGAAAAAGGAAGAAACCACCAGCAGCUUUUAUCAGGUUCAGUUCAGAGUUUAAAAUAUCGUUCCCCUGUCUUUGCCCAAAAGGGGCAAUCUGAUCUUAUGAGCAAACAGCAAAAGGCAUUUUGUAUUUAAACACACACACCACACACACACACACACACACACACACACACACACACACCAAAACCCUGUUUGUUGUUGGUUUCAGUGUAACUGUUUCACAAUUAUCUUAAUUUGAAAUGCUUAAUGUUGUUAGGACAUUUUUACUUUGUUUCUGAGACAUGUAUUAAGUAAAAAUCUUUUAUGAUGUUAAGCAUUUAUCCUUGAUCUGAUUUCUGCUAAUAAUCUCAUUUGAAUAUGAAAAACAAAAGAAAAUAAGUGUUGUCUCUGCCUGGUGUCCGGUUCAAGAUAUUUGACUUUUAAAUGUUGGCCUAAAGAGAAGAGAAUGCAGUUGCUAUUUGCUGAGCCUGGAACUAUGCAAUUUGCUGUAUGUUUGCUGAACUCAUUGGUACUGCUGCCUACUUGCUACCCAUUCUCCUUUCCAGCCACUUUCUCCUUCUUUGAAAAUUUCACCAACCUGUACCUCAUUUUGGGCACAAUGAUGUGCAGAGUUUCGUCUUUCUCUUUUAUGCCACAUUUCGGGUAAAAUAAAAGUUGUAUGGAACCAGUUCACAUCUUGAACCAUUGGCAAAGAUUGACUGGUCCAAGCCCAGAGAUGCAGACUAUGUUUAAGACCAAGAAAAAAAAAUCGAGGUAGGUGCAGAUCCAGGCUCAGAGCCAAGAAGGCCAACCGUAGGCUUGAUGUGAUGAGGUAAGUUGUGAUUUAUACCCCAUAGACUCUGCUCCAAGGUCGGGGAUGUUUUUUCAUCCUGUCUUGGAUUUUCUACUAUGAGCAGGUAUCUUUGGGCCCACCUCAGGUGAGCACUCCUAGUGGGAGUAAGGGGCCAUAGGUGUUCUCUGUCAUUGACUGGAAUAGAACAAGUGCUAGG
ensembl:lncRNA